AGUGUGACACUGGUGUUUUU
rnacentral:miRNA from 1 species